rnacentral:rRNA from 2 species
UCCAGAGAUGGAUUGGUGCCUUCGGGAACUGUGAGACAGGUGCUGCAUGGCUGUCGUCAGCUCGUGUUGUGAAAUGUUGGGUUAAGUCCCGCAACGAGCGCAACCCUUAUCCUUUGUUGCCAGCGGUCCGGCCGGGAACUCAAAGGAGACUGCCAGUGAUAAACUGGAGGAAGGUGGGGAUGACGUCAAGUCAUCAUGGCCCUUACGACCAGGGCUACACACGUGCUACAAUGGCGCAUACAAAGAGAAGCGACCUCGCGAGAGCAAGCGGACCUCAUAAAGUGCGUCGUAGUCCGGAUUGGAGUCUGCAACUCGACUCCAUGAAGUCGGAAUCGCUAGUAAUCGUGGAUCAGAAUGCCACGGUGAAUACGUUCCCGGGCCUUGUACACACCGCCCGUCACACCAUGGGAGUGGGUUGCAAAAGAAGUAGGUAGCUUAACCUUCGGGAGGGCGCUUACCACUUUGUGAUUCAUGACUGGGGUGAAGUCGUAACAAGGUAACCGUAGGGGAACCUGCGGUUGGAUCAC